UUAGAGACUAGGUAACAUUUAAAGGCCUGGGUUUAGAGGCUAGGUAACAUUCAAAGGCCUGGGAACACAAAGGACUGGGUUUAGAGGCUAGGUAACAUUUAAAGGCCUGGGAACACAAAGGACUGGGUUUAGAGACUAGGUAACAUUUAAAGGCCUGGGAACACAAAG